GUCUGGAAAGCUCUGCUGUAGAGCAUGAGACUCUUAAUCUCAGGGUUGUGGGUUCGAGAGCCAUGUUGGGCA